CUCCCCCCUCCCCUCCAUGAUUAAUCACUGAGACUGGGAGACAACCGAGACUGUAAGAGGAAGGAUUGCUUCUCCUCACCUCCGUUGUUGGCUUAUAAUGAAAAUGGCUCAGUAAGCUGUGACCCUUGCCUCUAGAGAGAGAAGGGCUAUCUGGAGGGUCACAGUGAGCCUCUGAGGCUAGCAAAAUCCGCCAGGAAACACAGGACCGACGGAGUCAAGGACAGAACUUUGUCACAAUACGUUAUCUGGUUAACAACCUCAGGGAAGCACGAGGGAGCUCUUACUUCUAGAGUGCUUAAGAUGUGAUUGAAUGAAUGCUCCAAUACUUCAAAAGAUGACGUGGACGGCAGUUAGUAAAUGAGAAUGAAAGAGUUGACAAAGAAAGCAAGCAGAUCAAAGACUGACAGCGUAUAAGGAAGAAAAGAAAAGCAGCAAAACCCUCUCUGGAGAGGCUGAGUACACUGAAAAAGACUGGGGAGAUAAAGCUCUGCCAAGGGAAGGUUUCUCUCCUCAGAUUUUUUUUCCCCCAACUCCAUCAGCAUGCCUCUUUCGUUCAGUUUGUCCUGACCAUGGGUCCCAUUAAUCGCUAGCAAUUUACAGCUGCUUUCCAUCUGGAAAGCUCUUCAUCUUUAUCUGAGGUCAUCUUAAAGGGUGAAUCAAAUUAUCUAACAGUGCCAAAAGUCCUCUCAUAUAAACAGAGUGAACUCUUCUUAAAAUCAGAAGUAAUAUUUCAGGUGAAAUAAACCAUGCUGCAUAUAUGUACAGAGUGCUGUGAGCACCAAUCCUGCCAGAAGAUGCAACAGUGCAGAUCCUUUCACCAGAACAGAGGCCCUAUGCAGAAGUCUGUAGGAUCUGGGAAUUGGAGCCUAAGGCCAGGUGUACACUAGAAAAUCAAAAGUUGGCUUAAUGACAUUGCUCAGAGUGUGAGAAAUCCACACCCCUGAGUGGCAUCGUUGUGACAGAACACAGACAAAAAGGAAGUUCUUCAACGAUGCACAAUCAACCUGUGGAACUCAUUGCCUGGGGAUGCUGUGAAGGCCAAAACCAGUAGCUAGAACAACAAAGAUUUGAAGAAAGGAAUGAUGGUGCUUGCAUUAGAAUUUAUAUCUAUUGGUACAAAGGCCUCUGUGCUUUUUCAUAUCGAGCUCAGAUUCUUUGCAGAUAAGAGAAUUCAUCUUUCUAACAGGAGAAAGCAAAAUCUUUUCUUACAACACAACUGAACAAGGAG